rnacentral:rRNA from 1 species
UUCAGCAUAUCAAUAAGCGGAGGAAAAGGAACCAACAGGGAUUGCCUUAGUAACGGCGAGUGAAGCGGCAACAGCUCAAAUUUGAAAGCUGGCCCUUUUAGGGUCCGCAUUGUAAUUUGUAGAGGAUGAUUCGGCGAGGGCUCCUGCCUAAGUCCCCUGGAACGGGGCGUCAUAGAGGGUGAGAAUCCCGUAUGCGGUAGGUUGCCUUAGCCAUGUGAAUCUCCUUCGACGAGUCGAGUUGUUUGGGAAUGCAGCUCUAAAUGGGAGGUAAAUUUCUUCUAAAGCUAAAUACCGGCCAGAGACCGAUAGCGCACAAGUAGAGUGAUCGAAAGAUGAAAAGCACUUUGGAAAGAGAGUUAAAAAGUACGUGAAAUUGUUGAAAGGGAAGCGCUUGCAACCAGACUUGUCCGCAGUUGCUCAGCCGGUCUCCUGACCGGCGUACUCUUCUGCGGCCAGGCCAGCAUCAGUUCGGGCGGUCGGAUAAAGGCCUCGGGAAUGUAGCUCCUCUCGGGGAGUGUUAUAGCCCGGGGUGGAAUGCGGCCAGCCUGGACUGAGGAACUCGCUUCGGCAAGGAUGCUGGCGUAAUGGUUGUAAGCGGCCCGUCUUGAAACACGGACCAAGGAGUCUAACAUCCAUGCGAGUGUUCGGGUGUCAAACCCGUACGCGCAAUGAAAGUGAACGGAGGUGGGAACCCCCAAGGGUGCACCAUCGCCCGAUCCUGAUGUCUUCGGAUGGAUUUGAGCAAGAGCAUAGCUGUUGGGACCCGAAAGAUGGUGAACUAUGCCUGAAUAGGGUGAAGCCAGAGGAAACUCUGGUGGAGGCUCGCAGCGGUUCUGACGUGCAAAUCGAUCGUCAAAUUUGGGUAUAGGGGCGAAAGACUAAUCGAACCA